CAGUCGCCGCGGGAAUACGAAGGGGGCUAGCGUUGUUCGGAAUUACUGGGCGUAAAGCGCACGCAGGCGGCUCGGUAAAUUAGAAGUGAAAGCCUUGGGCUUAACCUGAGAAUUGCUUUUAAGACUGUCGAGCUAGAAUCCAGAAGAGGGUAGUGGAAUUCCGAGUGUAGAGGUGAAAUUCGUAGAUAUUCGGAAGAACACCAGUGGCGAAGGCGACUACCUGGUCUGGCAUUGACGCUCAUGUGCGAAAGCGUGGGGAGCAAACAGGAUUAGAUACCCCGGUAGUCCCUGUCUCUUAUAA
rnacentral:rRNA from 1 species